rnacentral:lncRNA from 1 species
AGGAAUGAAACAUGAAUGGUCCGAAAUAUAUAUAUGUAUUGACAUCCAUAUUGUAUCAAGUGUCUCAUUAGGCUUUUUAUCUCUAAGGGAUAUCUGUUCCCCUUGCCCUUUAGGGUAUUUGUUUCCCCCUCCCCCAUCUGGUCUGAAAAGACAUAAUAGGACCACUCCCAGUGGAUAAUGGUGUACCCUCUGAUAAGAGUGGUAACGCAAAUAUCUGUUAGGGGUGACCCUUGGCUAAGUACUGUCGUGAUUGUAGAUAUCUGAUAGGGCCAUUAUAGUUGGUAUGGCUGUGGUCGUAGGUCAUACCGUGGUUUUGCUACUCGAAAAUGGGCCCGAGCAAAUUACUAUAUCUGUAUCUAAUUUGGUCAUUACACUUGGGUAGUUAGAAAUCUGUAUCUACCUUCAGAGAUGGAAGUUAUAACGAUUUCGCGAAGCAUGAUACAAAAAUCUUAGUAUUUCAUAAUUUAUUUGAUUUUUUCUAUUAUCUGGCAUGAUGUAUGCUUGAUUUGUUUAUAUUAAUGUACUAUUUUCUUAAUAAAUAAAUUAUUUUCAUAAUGUAAGAC